CCUACGGGUGGCUGCAGUCGAGAAUCUUCGGCAAUGGACGAAAGUCUGACCGAGCGACGCCGCGUGCGGGAUGAAGGCCCUCGGGUUGUAAACCGCUGUCAGUAGUUAGGAAGUCCAUGAGGGUUAUCUCUCAUGGUUGACCGAUCUUCAGAGGAAGGACGGGCUAAGUUCGUGCCAGCAGCCGCGGUAAGACGAACCGUCCAAACGUUAUUCGGUAUCACUGGGCUUAAAGCGUGCGUAGGCGGCUUGGUAGGUGAGAUGUGAAAGCCCACGGCUCAACCGUGGAAUUGCGUUUCAAACCCCCAAGCUCGAGGAAGAUAGGGGUGAUGGGAACUUAUGGUGGAGCGGUGAAAUGCGUUGAUAUCAUAGGGAACACCGGUGGCGAAAGCGCAUCACUGGAUCUUUUCUGACGCUGAGGCACGAAAGCUAGGGUAGCGAAC
rnacentral:rRNA from 1 species